CAAUGGCAAGCAAAAAGGCGUAAGAAAUAAAGCGUAAACGGCACUCACGGUAUUCGGUAUCUCUCCCAGAAGAGCGAGAAGUGGAAAAAUAUCCAGAAUGGAAUUCCGAAGGGGGAAAAGGGGGGACGUUGGGGGGAGAAGGGAAAAAGGAAAAAAAAAAAAAAAAAGGAAGAAAAAGGGGGGAAAGGGAAAAAAAGAAAAAAAAAAAAACAGAAAAGCCCACGGAGGGCAAAACUACAUCAUUUCGGCAACCAAUCCAAUUUGACUGGAGGAAAAAGGGAAAGGAAAUUAAAUAUCCAUCCGCAAUUUUCCAUGUAGUUCAGUCCCAACGGGCUCCGAUCCAAUCCGCCCCAGUCCGGCCGACUCCCCUCCGCCGUCCUUUACAUGGUACCGCCGCUCGCUCUCCCUUCUCCUCCGUCUUCCCCCACCCGCCGUCGCUCUCAAAGGACGUGGCUGCUUCCUUCCAAUGUCCCUGGAUGGAUCGCUCAACUUCGUGCUUCCUUGGGGACCGGAGGAGGAGCGGGCCGGAGGGUCUCGCCGCUCUGCUUGGAAGAAGGCAGCAAGAGGACGCGGCCGAAAAGGAUGACUCCCGCCGAAGGCGAAGGGAGAGCGUCUUGCGCCUUUGAGAAACUUUUCAUUCCAGCCUGGAUUCUUCGCAGGCGCCUCUGCUCUGCUCCCCCCCGCCUCUCCCCUUUCCAACGUUUAACCACUCUUGAAUCCUUCCCAGAAGAAGAGAAGCUUUCUCCUUCGGAUGGACAAAGGCGCUUCUUCGUAGGAUGCUGCUGCCACCCUGCGGACAUUUGGGAAACAGUCGUCAGGAUGUUAACCUGA
rnacentral:lncRNA from 1 species